rnacentral:rRNA from 1 species
ACCUUCGGGCCUCUUGCCAUCGGAUGUGCCCAGAUGGGAUUAGCUAGUAGGUGGGGUAAAGGCUCACCUAGGCGACGAUCCCUAGCUGGUCUGAGAGGAUGACCAGCCACACUGGAACUGAGACACGGUCCAGACUCCUACGGGAGGCAGCAGUGGGGAAUAUUGCACAAUGGGCGCAAGCCUGAUGCAGCCAUGCCGCGUGUAUGAAGAAGGCCUUCGGGUUGUAAAGUACUUUCAGCGGGGAGGAAGGGAGUAAAGUUAAUACCUUUGCUCAUUGACGUUACCCGCAGAAGAAGCACCGGCUAACUCCGUGCCAGCAGCCGCGGUAAUACGGAGGGUGCAAGCGUUAAUCGGAAUUACUGGGCGUAAAGCGCACGCAGGCGGUUUGUUAAGUCAGAUG